UCUGACAGCUAGGACUUGUCCCCGCCCUGGGCCAAUAAGUUUUCUACCCAAAAUCCCAUAGAAGACAGAUGAACAGUAAAGUUUUUGUAACUGUUCUACCUAGCUGUGACUACGGGCCAGGGCAGGGCAGCUCCAAUCGUAAAAGUACACACAAUGUAAAGGUACACACAAUGUAAAGGUACACACAAUGUAAAGGUACACACAAUGUAAAGGUACACACAAUGUAAAGGUACACACAAUGUAAAGGUACACACAAUGUAAAGGUACACACAAUGUAAAGGUACACACAAUGUAAGGCGGCGCAGGUACACACAAUGUAAGGCGGCGCAGGUACACACAAUGUAAGGCGGCGCAGGUACACACAAUGUAAGGCGGCGCAGGUACACACAAUGUAAGUACACACGAUAUAAGCCGACGCAGGUACACGC